UUGUGAAUUAACAUUGAAGAAACGUGUCAUUCUUGAGAGAAAAAGAAAUAAUUGAUUUCGCUGGGGUUCUUUGUUUCAGCCGAUUACUCGAAAGUUCAAUCACACUCGGCGAUGUCGAGCUGUCACUCAUGAAAAUCAGCCCCCAGCGAUGCAUAUUUCGUACAUGAAUAACGGAUGCUCAAUGCUAAUUGGAACAGCAUAUAUACGAACGGAUGAAAACAGUCAACGAACGAGGGUGGUAGAGAAAAAAGCAGGAAGAUUGAAGUGCGUGGCUAAUUGGAGGCAGGGCUCAACGGUAUUGGGGCAGUUUUCCUCGUCGCUUGCAUCGCCGCAAUCGUCGUCUCCGUCGCAUCGGUACUCAAUCUUUAUGCACCGAGGUGUAGCGCACUCGAAGUAAUUUUCUCCGCAAUGAACAUCUUGGAAUAUUUCUGGGGAACCAAGCGCAAGACCACCCGUUCAAACAAGUCGAAAAAGUCCUUUUCAUGACUUUUUGAGCGAUUUGACAGAUCCGGACUCAUGAAUUGUGCACGAUUUUGGAAUUUGACUGGUUAGAGAAACUCACCGCAUUUCGCUUCGUCGGAACCAUCACGACAAUCGUAUUCACCGUCGCAUCUGUACUCGUUCAUGAUGCACAUUCCGUCCGGACAAGUGAAUUCAUCUUCUUUGCAUUUCCUGAAAAAAUGCACGAGCCACCGCUAUAGUUUCCAUACGGAGUGUUUCGAACAAAUGAAAGAAAAAACGAAGACGAGAAAUAUGUUGCCCACGCGAUGGGCUUGGAAAAACAAUGCUGUACGCGAGAUAGAAUGAGAGGAGUGAUCAUUCAUGCUGCAAAAGUUUCGCACACCUAGUGAGUGGAGUAUUAAUUUCCUAUGGAGCAGCUAUAUCGGGUUGGAUGUCACCCGACACGUACACCCUUUGUCAGCUACGUGUACCCUAUUCAUUGCUUCAUUCAGAGCUAAAAUUCGAGUGAACGAGCACGAUCCCCCAAAUUUUCGACGGAAUAUGUGCUCUCCGAAAAAAUGGACCCCUCCGCAGUACGGUGAUCUCAUGUACCAGAUGAAGAACUACCCACCCUGCCUCGCAAUCACAUUUCCUAGCUCAAAUUACCCCACAGCAGAUAUGCUUCAGGGAUCAGGGGAGAAAAACAGAGGGAAGCUGAAUGAAAAAACUUCCAGGACAAGACUGAGGUACUCCGGGAGCGACGCAUGGGGAGUCAAAAAUCACGAGAGGGUCGUCGACGAAAAUCGAUCUACCGAGUCUGUGAAUAUGGACAAGAGCAUCGAGAUCGCAGAAGGAACUCCAAGUGCGAACUACAUUCACGAUUUCAUCGGCCUUACUGAUUGAAAGAUUUGGAUAUUUAUAAAGUGGAGAGAAAAUAUGUUUUGGUCGGUACACAUCCACGAUUGAUUCUUCUCGAGAACACACGAGGCUGAAAAGGGAGAACUUUUUCUUCCGGGCAAGAAGUCAAACGUGUCGUUAAGGGCCGACGCUUUCGUAUGCCUGUAUCAUCUUGAUCUAUAGCGAAUUAUGAUAUAGAUAUUGAAGGAUGUAUGCUGUGUCGUAGGGAAGACGAGACGUGGGCGAAAAAAUCUCAGCGUGGGCAGCUGAUACUCCGACAUCAAAAUAAGUCUCCUACAGAAGGAAUGCCUCUCGACAAUGGCGAAAAAAUCGAAUUACAGAUGCGUAUACGACCGACUCGACCUUUAUCAUCGAGCAAUAUCGACUCUGCUAUCCGGAGCUUCGUCGAGGGCGCAGUCUUCUUCGUCCGAGUAAUCCAUGCAAUCGUUGUCUCCGUCGCAGAGCCAGGCCCUCUCGACGCACAAACCGUUUCGACACUGAAACUGCUCCUCCGUGCAAUUCAAUCGAUUUCCUGCGACAAAAAAGCCACCAGUUUUGCAAAACUUGGAGAAAUUGAGCAACCUUCGCUUCUCUAGCCUCCAAAGAAUCUCUCUUCAUGGCAAUCAGCCCGGUAGAGGUACCAACCGCAAGGCGCCUCGUCCGAAUAAUCUCCACAGUCAUCGUCACCGUCGCAUAUCCACGAGUCUGAUAUGCAAUGCCCGGAUAUAGGACAGCGGCGAUUCCUUUGCCCGUAACAAUUUCCGUUCGAGUUUCUCUCCUCCAGUACCUCGUCGCAGUUCACUUCGUCCUCGUUGUUCUCGCAAUCCAUCUGACAAACGAUAACCGAACAUUUCAUAAGAGGAUUCCUCGCAUUCGAGCUAGAGAGAUCGUCGUCGUACGAGAAAAAUGAGUUGAAUGACACGAAAAUUUCGGCACCUUUCCAUCGCAACGCUGUUCCAUGCUGACACAAAUGCACGAACUAGAGCAAAGGAAAUAACCACCGAGGCAAAUCCAUCCGCAGGGUGCAACGAAGUCGGUGAAAUCGCUUUCAUCCUCGAGCUCCUGUAUCAGUGUCUUUUGAUCAGGCCCGAAUCGGUCAGGAUCAGCUUCACCGACCGGCCCUACACCGUGACCACGCUCCAGGCCAUUGUUGAACCUCGAACGAUCGGCAACCUCCCGAUCUUCGUAUCCUGCUCGCAACAAUUCGAACAUGCAACUGUAAAUGCAGUUGUUGGUGCGCUCUGGGAAUUGAGGGCAGCUGGAGGAUCAAUCCCGUGUGCACACUCUUACGUUCAAAACAUUUUCCGGAAAAGGAGGAAAGCGUUUGCUCAAGUAACAAAAUUUUGUAAUGAAGCACCGUAAACUCCACCUCGUCCCCGGCCACCGCGAUCAACACCGCGUGACAUUCCACCUGUACGUCCUUGUCCAUAAAUCCCGCCGUUUGAAACGGGUAUACGCAUGCCAUUUACCGGUGCGCCAUUUCUGUAACUGGGAACGUCACUCGGCUGAUGAUAGUCCGAGGGUUGUCCGGGUAUUCUUGGGAACAUUCCCGGUGUCAGGUGGAAAGGAUUACGAGCGAGAAGAAGCAGCAGAUUGGAUUAAUAAACUCGAGGGAAAAGUCCACUCGUUCUUGUUUCAAUGGGCUAGGUGAAAGAAUACUUUGAGGGUUUAAAGUGGUAAUUCAGGAUUAAAUCGACUUUAUCACUUGGCAAUAAGGAUUCUUUAGAAUAUGGAUUCCGUGGAUGCUCGAACGAGAUGCAACAGCGAAUGAAUUCUGGGUCACAAGUUUUGAGAGACCGUUCAGAUGAGAAACAAUUACGAAUUUAUUCAUUAAUGAAGAAUACAUUGAAGAUAUGUCGUCUUUUUGAUUGAGCUCGGGUAAGUUCGUACCUUCAGGAUGUUCAGGCAGAUCGAGAUGUCCCAGUGAUUUCUCAUCCUGCCUCACAUCGUUCCUCGUAUCCUGAGUAUUUUUGUCCCGAGCGUGUCCAGACAUCGCCGUGGUGACAUCGAGUACCGGGCCGCUUCCUGUUUGUCUCAAACUUCCGCUGCCAUACAUUUGCCUGGCAGCACCUCGGUUCACUGGAAGAUGAGUCGAUGUCUCGACGCACAUCGCGCCUCCUGAUCAAAAUUGUUAUUUUACUUAGCAAAAUUAGAGUUCUACUGCGAUGUGCUACCAGUGAACUUGAAGUGUUCAUUGAAUUUGGGGCUUUCAUCUCUUUCUCUCUGACCCUGCCAGAGAUAAAAAAUUUUUCAAACUCUGCAUACCGAAAUAAAAGGCGUAACGAGCCUUCGUCGAAGUACGAUGUGAAAGGCCCUGGACGAAUGAAUGUGCGAAUUAAAAAAAAAAAAAAAAAAAAUCAGCAGCCAUUUUACACGUGGAGACUGUAUAUUGGAUUCAGAGUUCUUAUUUUCGUCAAUCGUCAAACGGCAUGCCUCCUACAUAUAUUUGCAAAGUAUUCUGUGCCUCAGGGCAAAAUAAUCUUGAAUUUCUUUCUCCCCGAGGUGUUUACUGAAUGUCCAUGUCUUUGAUGUACGACUCUACACAAAACGAGUGUAUUUUGCAUAUUCAUUUCGAUAGGCUUCUUUCAUAGCGUUGAAUACGAAAGAGGGUUGGAACUUUUCAAAUGCUACGCUAACGAUAAGCAGUUCUACGAACCAUGUUAAAUUCCCCAAAGAAUUUUCUUCCUGUAGAUGCAUAAAAAUAACGAUCUAUAGUCUAAAAAUAGAACAUCUGAGCGUCCCCAUUCACGUAUUCGCGUUCAAGGUAUAUGCAGUGGGUGUGCAUAUAUGUCUGCGCUUCAAUUGACGUUUUGUACGAAGGAGGAAUCCGUGUCACGUGUUCCAAAUACAGAUAUUUAUGGGUCUACGGAACGCAGGGGAAUGUCAAAUAAAAUUUGAACCCAUAGAAUGUCCAUCGAUCUUUUUUCACGUUUCAUGUUGAAUGCUCAUUUCCCUCGAUUAACUGAGCCUUUAUAGCGAGGGUAUUGCAUAGAACUUGACCUACUGUAGACGACUUUAAUCUUGAGUUUUUGAGGAUAGGAAACGGAGCUGAUUCUGCAGCUCCUAAUCAGGUCCACGAAAGCCUCGCAUUUAUUUGGGGUUUGCUCCAUUCAUUGGACUCCUUUUUUCUGAUUACUUUGUGAAGGCUCAGCUUUACUGCUGCCUAAGGGGGUUGCUUUUUUCAUGAAAAUUGUCUUUUCUUUUUCAGGCCUGUUCCGCCGAAGCAGCGAACCGAGAUCCUCUGUGCUAUUGGGCUGUGAACUCACUUCGAAGUAGUUGAAACUGAAAACUUGGUGGAAGCCAUGCACACCGUCGAAGUACGUGGAUCCAUGGUCCAAGUUUGAUUUAAUUGACGCUCAUUUUACCAGCUACGUUGGAAACGGUGUGGGAGCGGAUGAUGUAAUGCGAUGGUGUACCUCGGGUGCGAAAUGGGUAAUGGAUUUGGAAAAUUCAUUGGACAGUCACGAAUCCAUGAAUGACUGGAGACAGCGCGGAGGCAUGAAUUCCUGGAACUCAACGAUCACGGGUAUAAACUGGAGUCCCCAGAGAGAGGGAGAGAGAGAGAGAAGCUGGAACGUUUCAUCGUACGAACGGUUGCGCAUGAAAGUUUGAUAACUCCAUGGAGACCUGGACUCGCAUCAGGAUCAUAGUACAUACAAAAUUCUAUAUGUAUUCAUACACUGACCUGUCCAUAACGAGAGGAUGAUAAAAAGAAGAGGCAUGGGUUGUUUUAUAGUCCGGGCCAUCAGGUCGUCCGCGCUCGACCUCAUUUUUCGAGUGCUCCAAGCGCGAGGGUCUCGAGUUUUCAACAUCGAUCAGGUGAGAGAGCCCUCUUCGAAUCUAGCUCGCGUCUUGCGUCUAAGCUUUUGUCAUCCAGCAAUAUAAACUUGGAAUAAAUUCGUGCUUAUUCAACCAUUGGCUCGUGAGACAUUGUCAUCCUGUUGAUUGCUCUCGAUGAAGCAUCGAAUGAAAAGUCACUGAGAACGAAAACAAUCACUAAAAUCGCACUGUAUUAUCAAUUCGCUCGUCAGGCUCGCCGUUGACAAUUAAAAGUGCAGAUUCUCCGGCCACCGAGUUUCUUCCACUCUGGAGCUUGAUUCAAUCACAUUUACAUCUAAGAUCAUAAAUGCUGAUCCGAGGAUCGAGGCGAGGUAGCCGGAUAUUAACAGCCUGUUGUAGAACCGAGCUACGCAAUUUUCCAGCACGUCGACGAGAACUCUCAACGGUUUCCAAGCAACUAGUGCAUCGGACCGAAUUUCCGCAUUUUUUUUCCAAGUAUCGAACUUUUUCCGAACAUCGUAUGCUGUCAAAGUUGUCUUUUCUCUCGUACCAAACUCGAUUAAAGCAGAUAAAGUCUUUUCAUCUCUGCUGUCGUAAGGAGAGCGCAACACCCUCCGCACGGGAAGGGUUGAUGCGAUUCCUCCUUCGUGGAUUUUUCUCUAAUGAUUCGCCUACAUAUUAGUGCCCCUGGGAGUAAUUUUUAUAAAUUAUUUCAGCUCGUUUCAUCAAAAUAAUGUCGAGUUAACGCGUUUACACGAUUAUCAGCGGAGGGCGAGCGCUUAUCAACUUCAGCACAUGUGCCACCGAGGGUUUCACGAUCCCGACUGGAGGGUGUCGACGAGACUCGUACAGGACCGGGCGACCGACGCAGAAUCUAACGCGCAGGAGUCGUAAAAAGCUGCCCCGAUACUAUAUAUGGAAAUAGAUAUUCAAAUAUAUAUGAAUAUUUUUACCAA